rnacentral:misc_RNA from 1 species
GUGAAUCAUCAAAUUUUUGAACGCAAAUUGCACUCUCUUCUGAUAGUAUGACUGUUUGAGUGUCAGCCUAAGAAAAAUCGAAGUAGUCGCUGUUUGGCGGUGACAGUCGUCGGAAAUUGGGUCAUCUUAAACCUUUUGGUUUUUUAAGCGGCUUAAAUUUUUCUUUACUAUUCCACAAACGUUUCUAAGAUUUUACUUUUUGCACACGUUUUAGGUAUCUAGCUUUAUUAGACGUGGCCAUUG